rnacentral:rRNA from 1 species
AUUGAACGCUGGCGGCAUGCUUUACACAUGCAAGUCGAACGGUAACAGGCCUUCGGGCGCUGACGAGUGGCGAACGGGUGAGUAAUGCAUCGGAACGUGCCCAGUCGUGGGGGAUAACGCAGCGAAAGCUGUGCUAAUACCGCAUACGAUCUGUGGAUGAAAGCGGGGGACCUUCGGGCCUCGCGCGAUUGGAGCGGCCGAUGUCAGAUUAGGUAGUUGGUGGGGUAAAGGCUCACCAAGCCAACGAUCUGUAGCUGGGCUGAGAGGACGACCAGCCACACUGGGACUGGGACACGGCCCAGACUCCUACGGGAGGCAGCAGUGGGGAAUUUUGGACAAUGGGCGCAAGCCUGAUCCAGCAAUGCCGCGUGCAGGAAGAAGGCCUUCGGGUUGUAAACUGCUUUUGUACGGAACGAAACGGUCCUGGUUAAUACCUGGGGCUAAUGACGGUACCGUAAGAAUAAGCACCGGCUAACUACGUGCCAGCAGCCGCAGUAAAAC